CAGAACUACAAAGGAAGUUGACGGGGGCCCGCACAAGCGGUGAGCAUGUGGUUUAAUUCGAUGAUACGCGAGGAACCUUACCUGGGCUCAAAUGUAUGUUGACGUAUUUCUGAAAGGGAUACUUCUUCGGACAAUAUACAAGGUGCUGCAUGGUUGUCGUCAGCUCGUGCCGUGAGGUGUCGGGUUAAGUCCCAUAACGAGCGCAACCCCUAUCAUUAGUUGCCAUCAGGUCAAGCUGGGGACUCUAAUGAAACUGCCUACGCAAGUAGUGAGGAAGGUGGGGAUGACGUCAAAUCAGCACGGCCCUUACGUCCAGGGCUACACACGUGCUACAAUGGCCGGUACAAAGGGCAGCUACCUGGUGACAGGAUGCUAAUCUCAAAAGCCGGUCUCAGUUCGGAUCGGAGUCUGCAACCCGACUCCGUGAAGCUGGAAUCGCUAGUAAUCGUGAAUCAGAAUGUCACGGUGAAUACGUUCCCGGGCCUU
rnacentral:rRNA from 1 species